AAUAGAUACCCGGGUAGUCCACGCCGUAAACGAUGAGUGCUAAGUGUUAGAGGGUUUCCGCCCUUUAGUGCUGCAGCUAACGCAUUAAGCACUCCGCCUGGGGGAGUACGGGUCGCAAGACUGAAACUCAAAGGAAUUGACGGGGGCCCGCACAAGCGGUGGAGCAUGUGGUUUAAUUCGAAGCAACGCGAAGAACCUUACCAGGUCUUGACAUCCUCUGACAACUCUAGAGAUAGAGCGUUCCCCUUCGGGGGACAGAGUGACAGGUGGUGCAUGGUUGUCGUCAGCUCGUGUCGUGAGAUGUUGAGUUAAGUCCCGCAACGAGCGCAACCCUUGAUCUUAGUUGCCAGCAUUCAGUUGGGCACUCUAAGGUGACUGCCGGUGACAAACCGGAGGAAGGUGGGGAUGGACGUCAAAUCAUCAUGCCCCUUAUGACCUGGGCUACACACGUGCUACAAUGGAUGGUACAAAGGGCUGCAAGACCGCGAGGUCAAGCCAAUCCCAUAAAACCAUUCUCAAGUUCGGAUUG
rnacentral:rRNA from 1 species